rnacentral:rRNA from 1 species
UACGUAGGGUGCGAGCGUUGUCCGGAAUUAUUGGGCGUAAAGAGCUCGUAGGCGGUGUGUCACGUCGGCCGUGAAAACCUGCAGCUUAACUGUGGGCGUGCGGUCGAUACGGGCAUCACUGGAGUUCGGCAGGGGAGACUGGAAUUCCUGGUGUAGCGGCGAAAUGCGCAGAUAUCAGGAGGAACACCCGUAGCGAAGGCGGCACUCUGGGCAACAACUGACGCUGAGGAGCGAAAGCGUGGGGAGCGAACAGG